rnacentral:rRNA from 1 species
AUUGAACGCUGGCGGCAGGCCUAACACAUGCAAGUCGAGCGAGCGGCGGACGGGUGAGUAAUGUAUGGGGACUGCCCGAUAGAGGGGGAUAACUACUGGAAACGGUAGCUAAUCCCGCAUACUAUCGGAUAACCCAUAGGGGAUUAGCUAGUGGGUGAGGUAAUGGCUCACAUAGGCGACGAUCCCUAGCUGGCCGGAGAGGAUGAUCAGACACACGGGGACUGAGACACGGCCCAGACUCCUACGGAGGCAGCAGUGGGGAAUAUUGCACAAUGGGCGCAAGCCUGAUGCAGCAAUGCCGCGUGUAUGAAGAAGGCCCUAGGGUUGUAAAGUACUUUCAGUCGGGAGGCGUUACCGACAGAGGAAGCACCGGCUAACUCCGUGCCAGCCGCCGCGGUAAUAC